rnacentral:rRNA from 1 species
GGUCAAGCGAGAAAGGGUUCAUGGUGGAUGCCUAGGAGCUACUGUACGAAGAAGGCCGUGGUAAGCUGCGAUAAGCCGGGGGGAGGAGCACACAUCCCGAGAUCCCCGGGUAGCCGAAUGGGGUAACCCGAUGCGUUAGACGAUGCAUCAUUCGCAUCUGAAUACAUAGGGUGCGAAGGGGAAACCCAGGGAACUGAACCAUCUCAGUACCUGGAGGAAAAGGAAUCAAACGAGAUUCCCCAAGUAGCGGCGAGCGAACGGGGAGCAGCCCAAACCUUCACCGUGUCAAGGCGUGAACCGUUGCGGUGGGGGUGUUGGAGGGCCUUUCUGGGCUCCUUUCACGGGGGGCCGCGAAGUCAGAAACCUGUUUUUUAGCGGAACGCCACUGGGAAGGGCGACCAGAGGGGGUGAAAGUCCCGUACGCGAAAAGAGACAGGCUUCGUGGGAGAGGUACCUGAGUACCGUGGGGCUCGAGAAACCCUGCGGGAAUCUGGGAGGACCACCUUCCAAGGCGAAAUACGGAAGUAGCUACCGAUAGUGCAGAAGUACCGUGAGGGAAAGGUGAAAAGGACCCCGAGAGGGGAGUGAAAGAGAAUCUGAAACCGUGAACCUACAAGCGAUCAGAGGGUGGGCGCGCGCAAGCGCGCUGGCCUAAUGGUGUGCCUAUUGCAUAAUGAACCGGCGAGUUACUGUAUGCAGCGAGGUUAAGGCAUAGGAGUGCUGGAGCCGCAGGGAAACCGAGUCUCAAAUGGGCGAUUCAGUUGCAUGCAGUAGACCCGAAGCUGAGUGAUCUAUCCAUGGCCAGGCUGAAGCGCUGGUAACACAGCGUGGAGGGCCGAACGGUAGUCCGUUGAAAAGGGCACUGAUGAGCUGUGGAUAGGAGUGAAAGGCUAAACAAACUCAGAGAUAGCUGGUACUCCCCGAAAUAGCUUUAGGGUUAGCCUUGCGUUGAGUGUCGCGGAGGUAGAGCACUGGAUGGACUAGGGGUCUUUACGGGCUACCAAACCCAACCAAACUCCGAAUGCCGUGACAUGGUGCGCAGGAGUGAGACUACGGGCGCUAAAGUUCGUGGUCGAGAGGGGAACAGCCCAGACCGUUGACUAAGGUCUCAGAUACCAAGCUAAGUGGAAAAGGAAGUGCGAUUGCCAGGACAGCCAGGAGGUUGGCUUAGAAGCAGCCAUGCCUUGAAAGAGUGCGUAACAGCUCACUGGUCGAGUCGUCGUGCGCUGAUAAUACACCGAGGCUCAAGCUUGGAACCGAAGUCACGGCUUGCAGGUCUUACGACCUGCAGGGGUAGGGGAGCAUUCCGUAUGCUGAUGAAGGUGAGCUGUAAGGCUUGCUGGAGGUGGCGGAAGGGAGGAUGCCGGUAUGAGUAACGAAAAGACAGGUGAAAAACCUGUCCGCCGAAAGCCUAAGGUUUCCUGGGUAAAGGUAAUCUGCCCAGGGUUAGUCGGCCC